AUGUAGCACCUGCACAUAUCUACAUUUAUCUUAAUUUGUUGUGAUUGAUUUACACAUGAUAAAACCAAGUGUACUGUUUAUACUGACAAAUGUUUUUUGUGUCGCUAUUUUACGUUCAUCUUCGCUAGCCAAAUUAAGGUCUACAAUCCACUCCUGUACUAAGAGAAAAGGAGUGGAUCAUAGACCGUUGGCUAACAAAGAUGUUUUUCAUUGGCCUUGUAAGUAAUCAUCAUGUACAUGCAUGUCAGUGGUUUUUUUAUGUACGUGAUGAAAGCACUUUUUCGUACACAUUUAUACAAGUCAAAAAUGUUUUUUUGUAUGAAUAACUAAUAGUUUAUUGUGAGUCAAAUGUUUGGAUGACAUUUUGUUACUCUGAUUUUUAAAUCAUGGCAGAAAUUCAAUGUUAAACUAAAAUUUCCUAAAUGUGUUGAAACCUUAUGAAUAAUUCAGUAUUUUGUAUUUUUAUACCCAGCCAGUUGGUUUGUAAUUGGACAGAUAUGAAUAAAUGAAACCUCCUGUG
rnacentral:misc_RNA from 1 species